rnacentral:rRNA from 1 species
UACGGAAGGGGCAAGCGUUGUUCGGAAUCAUUGGGCGUAAAGGGUGCGUAGGUGGCGUCGUAAGUCGGGUGUGAAAAUCUCGGGGCUUAACUCCGAAACUGCAUUCGAUACUGCGGUGCUUGAGGACUGGAGAGGAGACUGGAAUUUACGGUGUAGCAGUGAAAUGCGUAGAGAUCGUAAGGAAGACCAGUGGCGAAGGCGGGUCUCUGGGCCGUAACUGACGCUGAGGAGCGAAAGCAUGGGGAGCAAACAGG